GCACAACGCGAAGAACCUUACCUAGGCUUGACAUGCAUCUCUAAGCGCGUGAAAGCGCGUGACCCUUCGGGGGAUUUGCACAGGUGCUGCAUGGCCGUCGUCAGCUCGUGUCGUGAGAUGUUGGGUUAAGUCCCGCAACGAGCGCAACCCUUGUGAUUAGUUGCCAGCACGUGAAGGUGGGAACUCUAGUCAGACUGCCCAGAUCAACUGGGAGGAAGGUGGGGACGACGUCAGGUCAGUAUGGCCCUUACGCCCAGGGCUGCACACGUACUACAAUGCCCAGUACAAUGAGAACCGAGACCGCGAGGUGGAGGAAAUCUGGAAAACUGGGCCCAGUUCGGAUUGGAGGCUGCAACUCGCCUCCAUGAAGUCGGAAUCGCUAGUAAUGGCGCAUCAUCUACGGCGCCGUGAAUACGUUCCCGGGUCUUGUACACACCG
rnacentral:rRNA from 1 species